rnacentral:rRNA from 1 species
UACGGAGGGUGCAAGCGUUAUCCGGAAUCAUUGGGUUUAAAGGGUCCGCAGGCGGUCAAUUAAGUCAGAGGUGAAAUCCCGUCGCUCAACGACGGAACUGCCUUUGAUACUGGUUGACUUGAAUUAUACGGAAGUAGAUAGAAUAAGUAGUGUAGCGGUGAAAUGCAUAGAGAUUACUUAGAAUACCGAUUGCGAAGGCAGUCUACUACGUAUAUAUUGACGCUCAUGGACGAAAGCGUGGGGAGCGAAC